rnacentral:rRNA from 1 species
CACACCGCCCGUCGCUACUACCGAUUGAAUGGCUCAGUGAGGCCUUGGGAUUGGCCAGGGGAGGUGGGCGACCACCACCCCAGGCCGAAAACUUGGUCAAACUUGGUCAUUUAGAGGAAGUAAAAGUCGUAACAAGGUUUUCGCAGACGCCUAGUCUCGAGAUAAGUCCUGAUGCAUCCUUCUGCAGUGAACACUUAUCGGAAGCCUUUAACAGCUGCCGGAAACGGUGAGGCUGCCACGACUGUAAAUAAGGGCAGCCCAAGAGCUAGUGGAACGCCGGUCCCUUGCCGGUCUUUCGCGACACUGUCAAAUUGCGGGAAUCCCCUUAGAGCUUGCUGCUACCAAGCGUCGUCCCGAAACGGGCGACGUGGCCAGGGUAACUCCCUCGGGUACGGUCACAACGCGCAAGAUUGGGUAACCUGCAGCCAAGUCCUACCGGCCUUCCAGGCCCAUGGAUGCUGUUCACAGACUAAAUGGUAGUGGGUGACGCCCCCCUCGGUAGAAGAGGGGUAGGAGUCGCUUAAGAUAUAGUCGGGCCCCCGGGGAGACUCGGGGGAAAAGUUUCACGAAGAAUGGCCGUCGGUCCUUUUCGACGUGCCUAACAAUAACCGUUCCGUAGGUGAACCUGCGGAAGGAUCAUUA